rnacentral:misc_RNA from 1 species
AAGACUAUAGACCUGCGGAGUACCUGCGGAGGGAUCAUUAUAGAGUUUUCUAAACUCCCAACCCAUGUGAACUUACCUUUUGUUGCCUCGGCAGAAGUUAUAGGUCUUCUUAUAGCUGCUGCCGGUGGACCAUUAAACUCUUGUUAUUUUAUGUAAUCUGAGCGUCUUAUUUUAAUAAGUCAAAACUUUUAACAACGGAUCUCU